UGUUUAUUUUCCACGGUCGCCGGUGCGUUAACACUCGGAGAGGGGAUGACACGCCUGGCUUGCCUUACAUCCUACAUGCCCACUAGCGGCGGACCCCGCCACCCACGGUAUUGCCCGUGAGCUAUGGGCUGCCUGCAUAGCCCGUCUGUGUGGGACGGAAAUGAACCGGCGCCAGGCGCCAGGCACCGCAGCCUCAGCCCAGGUGGUUCAAGUCAGCGCCGCCGAGUGAGUAAGCUGGUGCGGUGCAGUGCGGUGCCGAGCCGCGCUCUGCGCACGUUGCAGAUCAACUGAGGUGGAACGCGAAACCAUCAAUGAAACAACAAGCUGCGCUUCGGCUUCCUGAAACCCAUUAAUUAAAAUGUACAAAAGCUAUUUAAUGAGCUUAAUUGUGUAUGAAAGACUUGGUUGCAGUCAAAGAGGAGAGUUUACAAUGGCGCAGUCACAAUAAAGUGAGGAGAGGCUCCACAACUGCUUCUUUAAAAGUAAACCCAAGAACACAAGAGAGAAGGAGCAUGCAAGCCUAAUCUGCCCAUUGUCGCUAACCUUGAGAGCCCCUCUCCAUCUCACCACACUUCCCCACCUUCUUAUUAAGCUGGAGAGUGGAACCGUUGCUGUUUCUUUAAGCCAAACCCAACGGCCUGGUUAGAUGGGUCACCGGAAGGCACUGUAUCAGGAUACAAGGGGUCCACUCACUUUUUUCAUAGGCCUUAAAAUAUGAUGAUGAUUUACUGUUCUGCGUAGUAUUUUACACCACGUAGCUGCAUACCUUCUGCCGUAGCCUGAUGCACACCACACCAGAAUCGUAACUGCGGCUGUCAGACUACGGCGUAGGGUAAGCAUCUACAAGACUACUUAGGCCUAGAUUCUUCGCAGAACUGUAACUCAGCCUUUAGCUAAUCAGGCUGUACGUGAGGAUUGUCUUACAGCUAAAAUAUGCCAAAUAUGCUUUCUGAGAGUCAUUGUUGACAGAGGCAUACAUUUUUUUCCAAAGUCACUUGACUGCAUUAUCUUAGUAGGAACAUCUCAAUAGUAAUAGUUACAUUUUUCUUUUUCGUUGCUGGCCUUGCCCAGUUGUUGAACUUGGUGACAAGUUGACAUGUUAAGAUUUGAUCGUGGUAAAUACACAUUUUACUGUACAGAAAUGUUUCUUCCUCCUUUGCACCCUAACUGACAAGGAAACACAGAGGUCGUACGAAAAGCUGAUCUUGAUCUUAAUCCUGCCCCAAGGCUAAGAUUGGCGAAAGCAUGGACAGAAAAACACACGCUUCUACCCAACUGGGAUUUUCUGUCAGCCUACUUGUGUUUGACUUGUGAAGCGGGAGAAUUCUUUGUCCCAGAAUUGUACCCAUAGAAAAUAAAGGAAGUUGCACCAAA